AUUGAACGCUGGCGGCAGGCCUAACACAUGCAAGUCGAGCGAGCGGCGGACGGGUGAGUAAUGGCUGGGAACCUGCCUGAUGGAGGGGGCUAACUGCUGGAAACGGUGGCUAAUACCGCAUACCAUCAGAUGUGCCCAGAUGGGAUUAGCUAGUAGGUGGGGUAAUGGCUCACCUAGGCGACGAGCCCUAGCUGGUCUGAGAGGCGGACCAGCCACACUGGAACUGAGACACGGCCCAGACUCCUACGGGAGGCAGCAGUGGGGAAUAUUGCACAAUGGGCGCAAGCCUGAUGCAGCCAUGCCGCGUGUAUGAAGAAGGCCUUCGGGUUGUAAAGUACUGUCAUCGGGGAGGCGUUACCCGAAGAAGAAGCACCGGCUAACUCCGUGCCAGCAGCCGCGGUAAUUC
rnacentral:rRNA from 1 species